GCGGCGGUGGCGAAAUUGGUAAACGCUGCGGCCUCAAAAGCCGUUGCCCGCAAGGGCUUGUGGGUUCGAGUCCCACCCGCCGUA
rnacentral:tRNA from 1 species